UACGUAGGGUGCGAGCGUUAAUCGGAAUCACUGGGCUUAAAGCGCGUGUAGGCGGGACGGCACGUCGGUCGCUGAAAGCCCCCGGCUCCAACCGGGGAACGGGCGCCGAUACGACCGCCCUGGAGGGACGUAGGGGGACCUGGAACUUCCGGUGGGAGCGGUGAAAUGCGUUGAGAUCGGAAGGAACGCCCGUGGCGAAAGCGAGGUCCUGGACGCUUUUCUGACGCUGAGACGCGAAAGCCAGGGGAGCGAACGGGG
rnacentral:rRNA from 1 species